UAGCCUCUCCUUGGCUUUGUCUGUAUCUUACGAUGUUUCAGACAUAGCCUGAUAGAGGUUACG
rnacentral:pre_miRNA from 1 species